AUUGAACGCUGGCGGAAUGCUUUACACAUGCAAGUCGAACGGCGGCACGGACUUCGGUCUGGUGGCGAGUGGCGAACGGGUGAGUAAUGUAUCGGAACGUGCCCAGUCGUGGGGGAUAACGUAGUGAAAAUUACGCUAAUACCGCAUACGAUCUAUGGAUGAAAGCGGGGGAUCGCAAGACCUCGCGCGAUUGGAGCGGCCGAUAUCGGAUUAGGUAGUUGGUGGGGUAAAGGCCCACCAAGCCAACGAUCUGUAGCUGGUCUGAGAGGACGACCAGCCACACUGGAACUGAGACACGGUCCAGACGCCUACGGGAGGCAGCAGUGGGGAAUUUUGGACAAUGGGCGAAAGCCUGAUCCAGCCAUUCCGCGUGCAGGAUGAAGGCCCUCGGGUUGUAAACUGCUUUUGUACAGAACGAAAAGGUUUCUACUAAUACUAGGAGCUCAUGACGGUACUGUAAGAAUAAGCACCGGCUAACUACGUGCCAGCCGCCGCAGUAA
rnacentral:rRNA from 1 species